rnacentral:rRNA from 1 species
UGGUUUAAUUCGAUGCAACGCGAAGAACCUUACCUGGCCUUGACAUGUCUGGAAUCCUGUAGAGAUACGGGAGUGCCUUCGGGAAUCAGAACACAGGUGCUGCAUGGCUGUCGUCAGCUCGUGUCGUGAGAUGUUGGGUUAAGUCCCGCAACGAGCGCAACCCUCGCCUUUAGUUGCCAUCAUUUAGUUGGGCACUCUAAAGGAACCGCCGGUGAUAAGCCGGAGGAAGGUGGGGAUGACGUCAAGUCCUCAUGGCCCUUACGCGUUGGGCUACACACGUGCUACAAUGGCGACUACAGUGGGCAGCUAUCCUGCGAAGGUGAGCUAAUCUCCAAAAGUCGUCUCAGUUCGGAUUGUUCUCUGCAACUCGAGAGCAUGAAGGCGGAAUCGCUAGUAAUCGCGGAUCAGCAUGCCGCGGUGAAUACGUUCCCAGGCCUUGUACACACCGCC